AUUAUAGAGGACUAGUGGUUAGGCCAUGGCACUCUCAAUGCCGCGGCCUGGGUUCAAUUCCUGGCCAGGGAA